rnacentral:tRNA from 1 species
UCUAGUUUGGCAGAGAGUUGAGUGCAGUAGAUUUAGGAUUUACGGAGGUGUUGUAACACAAUUAGUA